rnacentral:rRNA from 1 species
AGUGAACGCUGGCGGUAGGCCUAACACAUGCAAGUCGAACGGCAGCACAGUAAGAGCUUGCUCUUACGGGUGGCGAGUGGCGGACGGGUGAGGAAUACAUCGGAAUCUACUUUUUCGUGGGGGAUAACGUAGGGAAACUUACGCUAAUACCGCAUACGACCUACGGGUGAAAGCAGGGGAUCUUCGGACCUUGCGCGAUUGAAUGAGCCGAUGUCGGAUUAGCUAGUUGGCGGGGUAAAGGCCCACCAAGGCGACGAUCCGUAGCUGGUCUGAGAGGAUGAUCAGCCACACUGGAAAUGAGACACGGUCCAGACUCCUACGGGAGGCAGCAGUGGGGAAUAUUGGACAAUGGGCGCAAGCCUGAUCCAGCCAUACCGCGUGGGUGAAGAAGGCCUUCGGGUUGUAAAGCCCUUUUGUUGGGAAAGAAAAGCAGCAGGUUAAUACCCCGCUGUUCUGACGGUACCCAAAGAAUAAACACCGGCUAACUGCGU